UGGGGAAUAUUGCACAAUGGGCGGAAGCCUGAUGCAGCGACGCCGCGUGGGGGAUGAAGGCCUUCGGGUUGUAAACUCCUUUCGACAGGGACGAAGCUUUUGUGACGGUACCUGUAUAAGAAGCACCGGCUAACUACGCGCCAGCAGCCGCGGUAAUACGUAGGGUGCGAGCGUUGUCCGGAAUUACUGGGCGUAAAGAGCUCGUAGGUGGUUUGUCGCGUCGUCUGUGAAAUUCCGGGGCUUAACUCCGGGCGUGCAGGCGAUACGGGCUGACUUGAGUGCUGUAGGGGAGACUGGAAUUCCUGGUGUAGCGGUGAAAUGCGCAGAUAUCAGGAGGAACACCGAUGGCGAAGGCAGGUCUCUGGGCAGUAACUGACGCUGAGGAGCGAAAGCAUGGGUAGCGAACAGGAUUAGAUACCCUGGUAGUCCAUGCCGUAAACGGUGGGCGCUAGGUGUAGGGGGCUUCCACGUCUUCUGUGCCGUAGCUAACGCAUUAAGCGCCCCGCCUGGGGAGUACGGCCGCAAGGCUA
rnacentral:rRNA from 1 species